rnacentral:lncRNA from 1 species
UUUUUUUUACUUUUUUUCUUUCUUUUUUUUUGUUGUAAAUCUUAUUCUCGAGAUUAUUGUUAUUAAAUGUCAAACCCCCCGGUGCCGUAUGGGGCGUCUGGUCUGUCAAUUGCCGUUGGCUCGUGGAACGUUAAACGUUUUUUAGUAAUGCUCCAGUAAGUACAGCAAAACAACGCAUAAAGACAACAAAUUGCUAUUGUUUUUUUUUUUUGCUUUUCUGUCUUUUAGUAUUGUCUUAGUAGUUACAAUUACCGGUGACAGUAUGCUUCUGUACUGUGCUUUAUUUGGUUACCCUUUCCCCGUGUGGGUAUUAUCGAAAAAGAAGCAACCCUGAGCUUUGAAUAUUUAAAUUUGGAUUUAAAAUAUACAAUUUAUAGAUACAGAUUUAUAGUUUAUAAGUCACACAAAAUUGUACGACUAAUAU